GCAUGGAUUUGGAUUUAUGGCAGGCUCGUCCCCCCUGGGCCUCUCAUAGUGUCCCAUGCUAGAGCAAACUGUGGCUCCUGCCCGGCCUCUGUGCCUGUAGGCUGCUGUCACUGAAGUGGGUCACACAGUG